rnacentral:rRNA from 1 species
AUUGAACGCUGGCGGCAGGCCUAACACAUGCAAGUCGAACGGUAACAGGAAGCAGCUUGCUGCUUCGCUGACGAGUGGCGGACGGGUGAGUAAUGUCUGGGAAACUGCCUGAUGGAGGGGGAUAACUACUGGAAACGGUAGCUAAUACCGCAUAAUGUCGCAAGACCAAAGAGGGGGACCUUCGGGCCUCUUGCCAUCGGAUGUGCCCAGAUGGGAUUAGCUUGUUGGUAAGGUAACGGCUUACCAAGGCGAUGAUGCAUAGCCGAGUUGAGAGACUGAUCGGCCACAAUGGAACUGAGACACGGUCCAU